rnacentral:rRNA from 1 species
UACGUAGGGUGCAAGCGUUGUCCGGAAUUAUUGGGCGUAAAGAGCUCGUAGGCGGUCUGUCGCGUCGGCUGUGAAAACCCGAGGCUCAACCUCGGGCCUGCAGUCGAUACGGGCAAACUAGAGUACUGCAGGGGAGACUGGAAUUCCUGGUGUAGCGGUGAAAUGCGCAGAUAUCAGGAGGAACACCGGUGGCGAAGGCGGGUCUCUGGGCCGAUACUGACGCUGAGGAGCGAAAGCGUGGGGAGCGAACAGA